UGGGGAAUUUUGGACAAUGGGGGCAACCCUGACCCAGCAACGCCGCGUGAAGGAUGAAGUAUUUCGGUAUGUAAACUUCGAAAGAAUAGGAAGAAUAAAUGACGGUACUAUUUAUAAGGUCCGGCUAACUACGUGCCAGCAGCCGCGGUAAUACGUAGGGACCAAGCGUUGUUCGGAUUUACUGGGCGUAAAGGGCGCGUAGGCGGCAUGACAAGUCACUUGUGAAAUCUCUGGGCUUAACCCAGAACGGCCAAGUGAUACUGUCGCGCUAGAGUGCAGAAGGGGCAAUCGGAAUUCUUGGUGUAGCGGUGAAAUGCGUAGAUAUCGGGAGGAACACCUGUGGCGAAGGCGGCCACCUGGUUGGAUACUGACGCUGAGACGCGAAAGCGUGGGGAGCAAACAGGAUUAGAUACCCCCGUAGUCCCUGAGCGGGCUGGCAAGGCGCAU
rnacentral:rRNA from 1 species